GACGAACGCUAGCGGCAGGCUUAACACAUGCAAGUCGAGGGGCAGCAUAAUGGAUAGCAAUAUCUAUGGUGGCGACCGGCGCACGGGUGCGUAUCGCGUAUGCAACCUACCUUUAACAGGGGGAUAACACUGAGAAAUUGGUACUAAUACCCCAUAUUAUCAUAGAAGGUAUCUUUUAUGGUUGAAAAUUCCGAUGGUUAGAGAUGGGCAUGCGUUGUAUUAGCUGGUUGGUGGGGUAACGGCUCACCAAGGCGGCGAUACAUAGGGGGACUGGGAGGUUAACCCCCGAUACGGGAACUGGGACACGGACCAGAGUACUACGGGAGGGAGCAGAGAGGAAUAUUGGUCAAUGGACGCAAGUCUGAACCAGCCAGGCCGAGUGCAGGAUGACGGCGCUAUGAGUUGUAAACUGCUUUUGGGCGAGGGUAAACGCAUAUACGUGUAUCUGUCUGAAAGUAUCGUACGAAUAAGGAUCGGCUAACUCCGUG
rnacentral:rRNA from 1 species